AGACAAGGUUCUAAAGAAAAAAGAGAAAAAAAUAAAUGAAAAAUGCAAUAGAUAGAACCGGUGUCUAAUUAAGAGAAUUUAGAGUUGGUAAAAACCCCAUACGUGGCGGCUUGGUACUGGCUUGUACCUUUCACACACGAAGGGAAAAAAAUUGUGCUUCUUUCGUCAUUCUGUUCUUCAAUAUUGUCGAAGUUCUGUUGUUGAUCGAUUUUGUCUCUCUCUUUCUUCGAUAAAGGAUCUUCAUGGGCUCAAACCUGAUCCAUUCGAAGGUUCUCAGUGGGAUGGUUUAGGGUUCUUCGUUCAGUACUUGUGGGUUUUUGGAAUCUUUUCGCGUUAAUCUCCGGUGGAAUUGCGGCGGGGACGUAUAACGAAGAAUCAAAGCGAAAGGUGCAACUUGAGCCUAUGGAGUCAUAGUGACUACCAUUGGAAAGUCAAUGGUGUUUUGCAACAGUUGAGAAAGUUAGGAUCUUGUUUAGAGUCAAUGUUGUUAACUUUCGUGGUGUUGGUAUGGAGGAAAAUGACGUUGGAUCAGAGCCUGGAGCUGAAGCCUUUGGUGAUCACCAAGUCGCUUGUGGCUAAGGACGAGGAUGUGGAUUUGGGGUCUGGGAUGGGUAGAGUCUCUAUCUUCUUUGGUACUCAGAC